rnacentral:tRNA from 1 species
UACAUUUUAGUGUAUGGUGCACAAGAAUUUUUGAAGUUUUAUGAAAUAGUUUAAUUCUAUUAAAUGUAA